rnacentral:rRNA from 1 species
ACACUCCUACGGGAGGCAGCAGUGGGGAAUUUUGGACAAUGGGCGAAAGCCUGAUCCAGCAAUGCCGCGUGAGUGAAGAAGGCCUUCGGGUUGUAAAGCUCUUUUGUCAGGGAAGAAACGGUGAAAGCUAAUAUCUUUUGCUAAUGACGGUACCUGAAGAAUAAGCACCGGCUAACUACGUGCCAGCAGCCGCGGUAAUACGUAGGGUGCAAGCGUUAAUCGGAAUUACUGGGCGUAUAGCGUGCGCAGGCGGUUUUGUAAGUCUGAUGUGAAAUCCCCGGGCUCAACCUGGGAAUUGCAUUGGAGACUGCAAGGCUAGAAUCUGGUAGAGGGGGGUAGAAUUCCACGUGUAGCAGUGAAAUGCGUAGAUAUGUGGAGGAACACCGAUGGCGAAGGCAGCCCCCUGGGUCAAGAUUGACGCUCAUGCACGAAAGCGUGGGGAGCAAACAGGAUUAGAUACCCUAGUAGUCCC